rnacentral:rRNA from 1 species
UUUAUGGAGAGUUUGAUCCUGGCUCAGGACGAACGCUGGCGGCGUGCCUAAUACAUGCAAGUCGAGCGGAUCUCUGAAGGAGCUUGCUCCUGAUGAGAUUAGCGGCGGACGGGUGAGUAACACGUAGGCAACCUGCCUGCAAGACCGGGAUAACAUUCGGAAACGGAUGCUAAGACCGGAUACGCAGUUUCCCCGCAUGGGGAGAUUGGGAAAGACGGAGCAAACUGUCGCUUGCAGAUGGGCCUGCGGCGCAUUAGCUAGUUGGUGAGGUAACGGCUCACCAAGGCGACGAUGCGUAGCCGACCUGAGAGGGUGAACGGCCACACUGGGACUGAGACACGGCCCAGACUCCU